CAAUAGCGUAUAUUUAAGUUGUUGCAGUUAAAAAGCUCGUAGUUGGAUUUCGGUUAAGAGCGACCGGUCCGCCGUUUGGUGUGCACUGGUUGGUUUUAACUUCCUGUAGAGGACGUGCUCUGGGUUUAACGACCUGGACUCGGAGUCUACGUGGUUACUUUGAAAAAAUUAGAGUGUUCAAAGCGGGCUUACGCUUGAAUAUUUCAGCAUGGAAUAACACCAUAGGACUCCUGUCCUAUUUCGUUGGUCUCGGGACGGGAGUAAUGAUUAAGAGGAACAGUUGGGGGCAUUCGUAUUUCAUUGUCAGAGGUGAAAUUCUUGGAUUUAUGAAAGACGAACUUCUGCGAAAGCAUUUGCCAAGGAUGUUUUCAUUAA
rnacentral:rRNA from 1 species